CGCAUUUUGAAUUUCAACAGUUGACCGGUGCCACUGCUGAGUGCGGACAGACACGAGAGACAUUCUUGGAGAUGUUGCAUUAAAAACCUUACAAAAUGGCCAGCAAGAUGAUUCAGCCUUCCUACAGUACCAAGAGGCAAAGCAAACAUUUAUUAAUUUGCAACGUGUCAGAAAACAAACAUAAUUCAGUAUUUGGAGGAGGAGGUAUGACGAAGCCCCCAUGUCCUGCUAUGGGAUGAAUUUGACUAAUCACAAGCCUUUGUUAUCGUGGGGAGGCAUGGCCCAGGAGCAAGACCAGCAGUUGACAUGUGCUUUAAUAUUUUUUUUACAUUUUAUACAGAGUAUCCCAAGCCUUUCACUACUGUUAAGUAGUUUCUGUAACACACAAUACAUUUUGUACCAUGUGAUGUUUCCUGAACACACUGUCACCUGCUUAAAGGGACAGUUCCCCCAAAAAUGAAAAUUGUCAUCAUUUUCUUCCUCUCCUGUCGUUACAAACCUGUAUACAUUUUUUGUUCUGAUGACCACAAAGGAAGAUAUUUUGAGUAAUGUUUAAAACCAAACAGAUCAUGAGCCCCAUUGACUGUCAUAGUAGGAAAAAAGAAUACUAUGAAAAUGAAUGGGGCUCAUGAUCGGUUUGAUUUCAAACAUUCUUUGAAAUAUACCUUUGUGGUUAUCAAAGUAAAGACUUAUAUACAGGUUUAUAACAACAUGAGAAGGAGAAAAUUAUGACAAAAUGUGUGAACUAUGCUUUUAAGCAGUUUUUAGUUGGAUAAGAUUGAGUAGAUUUGUUUUGUUCUUAUGUUUUUGUUUAUUUAUUUAUGUAUAUAUUUAUGUAUGUGUGUAUGUAUUUAUGCUUCUAUACAUGUAUGUAUUUAUACAUUUAAAUGCAGGUGCAAAUGACUAAAUGAAAAUAAAGCAUUAUAAAUGUAUUUGUUAGUUUUGUAUUAUUUAUUUAUAAAGCAAAUAAUAGUAAUAAAUUAACAUCCGAUCGUGGUGAAAUCUCAAUUCUUAUAUUAUUAGACCUUAGUGCAGCCUUUGACACAAUAGAUCAUACAAUCUUACUCAAUAGACUAGAAAACUAUGUUGGUAUCAGUGGUCAGGCGCUAGCCUGGUUUAGGUCGUAUCUAACCAAUCGCUAUCACUUUGUUUAUGUAAACGAGGAAGAGUCAUAUCACUCCCUGGUUAAAUACAGUGUACCGCAGGGAUCGGUUUUAGGUCCUAUCCUGUUCUCGUUAUACAUGUUACCUCUAGGAGACAUUAUCAGGAAACAUAACAUAAGUUUUCACUGCUAUGCGGAUGAUACCCAGCUUUACAUCUCCUCACAUCCCAGCGAAACACACACGUUUUCUAAGCUAACAGACUGCCUUAGAGAUGUUAGUGACUGGAUGGCACAUAACUUUCUUAAGCUGAACUCCAAUAAGACAGAGAUACUUAUUAUUGAACCGAAUCGCUACAAACAUAAUAUGUCAGAUUACAAGUUGCACAUAGAUGGCUGCGCUGUGGUGCCAUCUUCCACGGUUAGGAACUUAGGUGUGAUGUUCGACAGCAACUUAUCCUUCGAUAGUCAUAUCGCCAACGUCUGCCGCACAGCAUUCUUCCAUCUUAGAAAUAUCUCGAAAAUACGCCAUAUACUGUCUACAUCUGACGCAGAGAAGCUUAUCCAUGCUUUUAUGACCUCUAGAAUAGACUAUUGUAACUCGCUACUCGGGGGAUGCCAUGCAAAUCAAGUAAACAAGCUUCAGCUAGUUCAAAACGCUUCCGCAAGGGUACUUACUCGAUCUGAAAAGUAUGACCACAUAAGCCCAAUUCUGGCAUCUUUACACUGGCUACCAGUUAAAUAUCGCAUACAAUUUAAAAUAUCACUAAUCACCUACAAAGCUUUAAAUGGCCUAGCACCCUCAUAUCUUAGAGAAUUACUAUCAGAAUACAAUCCAUCACGCACACUACGGUCGCAAAAUUCUGGUCUCUUGAUUAUCCCUAGACUAUCAAAAGUGUCUAAAAGUGGAAGGUCAUUUUCCUACUUAGCCCCUAAGCUCUGGAAUGAUUUACCAACCGAUGUCCGAGAAUCAGACACAGUCGAUAAUUUUAAAGGCGGAGUCCACGAUGUUUGAAAAACGCGUUGGAAAAGGAGACGGGCCGACUACCAAAACACACUUAUAGCCAAUAAAAUCAAAUCAAAUGCCGGUUUGCGUAUGUGUGGGGCGGGUCUAUCAACAGAAGGUCCAGAUUCUAUUGGGGUAGGGGCGUGUUUGUU